AUUGCGCCUCCCGCCACCGGAAGUCUGAGAAGGGCAUGAGGCGACGGCGCGAGGGCGGCUGUUAAGCUCCCGCUGCCUGGGGCGGUGAGGCCUCAAAAGUUUCACCUCCAGACCUUAAAUAUCACUUUGGAAAUUUCCAUCCAGCAUGUAAGCGGAGGAGGGGUGCUACCUCACAGGAGCUCUGCUGAACUGUGUUGAGUUCUGUUACAAGCUGCAGAGGAGACUACAGAACAGGAGAGGAACAAACACUGCUAUUUAUGCUAGUACAUCACACUGGAAAACUGCAUUCUGAGAACAGGUAAAUGCUUAGAAGUGGAGUGAGUGUUAGCCAGUGCUGAAGUCCACCCCCUAAGGUAAAAACAUCAAAAUUUAAACACAAGCCCACCCAAAUUUCAGAAGUAAGUUUAAAUGUUCUGACUAAACCCAUUUGUGAAUCUAUCGUUCAGUGAUGUUCUGUGUUAGUAUUACAACUCUACAGCAGAAGUACAAAGAGUCUUAAAUCAUGCCCAUUUUUUUUAAAAUGCUGUUAUUCAAAGCUACUUGUCUUUACACAAAAGUAAAGCAAAACUUGGCAGACAAAUCUAAAUUGACUUCUAUCCCAUUAGUGCUCUGACACAAUGUGAAGGAAUGCAGAUUGCAUAUGUCUGCAUCACACAUCACAUCAAAGGC